rnacentral:rRNA from 1 species
AGUGGCGAACGGGUGAGGAUCACGUGAGAAACCUGCCCCAGACUCUGGGAUAACAAUUGGAAACGAUUGCUAAUACCGGAUGACGUCGGAGAACCGCAUGGUUCACUGACGAAAGAUAUUUCGGUUUGGGAGGGUCUCGCGGCCUAUCAGCUUGUUGGUGGGGUAAUGGCCUACCAAGGCAACGACGGGUAGCUGGUCUGAGAGGAUGAUCAGCCACACUGGGACUGAGACACGGCCCAGACUCCUACGGGAGGCAGCAGUGGGGAAUCUUGCGCAAUGGGCGAAAGCCUGACGCAGCAACGCCGCGUGCGGGAUGAAGGCCUUCGGGCUGUAAACCGCUUUCAGCAGGAACGAAAAUGACGGUACCUGCAGAAGAAGGAGCGGCCAACUACGUGCCAGCAGCCGCGGUGACACGUAGGCUCCAAGCGUUGUCCGGAUUUAUUGGGCGUAAAGAGCUCGUAGGCGGUUUAGUAAGUCGGGUGUGAAAACUCUGGGCUUAACCCGGAGACGCCAUCCGAUACUGCUAUGACUUGAGUUCAGGAGGGGAGCGGGGAAUUCCUAGUGUAGCGGUGAAAUGCGCAGAUAUUAGGAGGAACACCGGUGGCGAAGGCGCCGCUCUGGACUGAAACUGACGCUGAGGAGCGAAAGCAUGGGUAGCAAACAGGAUUAGAUACCCUGGUAGUCCAUGCCGUAAACGGUGGGCACUAUGUGUGGGUUCCAACUAACGGGAUCCGCGCCGUCGCUAACGCAUUAAGUGCCCCGCCUGGGG